rnacentral:tRNA from 1 species
AGCUUGGUGGUUCAGUGGUAGAAUUCUUGUCUUCCAUGCAGGAGGCCCGGGUUCAAUUCCCAGCCAAGGUA